GAACGCACCUUGCACCCUCUGGUAUUCCGGAGGGUACGCCCGUUUGAGUGUCAUUGUAAUCUCACACCUCAGGAUUCUGUCUUCGAGGUAUGUGGACUUGGAUGCUGUCGCCUGACUGUGGCUCAUCUCAAAUGCAUGAGUGUACCCUGCUUUUUGUGGUGUAUUCGGUGUGAUAAGCAUUCUUCACCGGAGUUGGUCCCUCGGGGCACAUCGCAGUGGCUUGGCUCUACGCUUCCAACGGUCUUCGGACAAUGCUUGACAUUUUGACCUCAAAUCGGGUGGGACUACCCGCUGAACUUAAG
rnacentral:misc_RNA from 1 species